GGCCCCAUGGUCAAGUGGUUAAGACACCGCCCUUUCACGGCGGUAACGGGGGUUCGAGUCCCCCUGGGGUCACCA
rnacentral:tRNA from 1 species